CCUACGGGAGGCAGCAGUGGGGAAUCUUGCGCAAUGGGCGAAAGCCUGACGCAGCCAUGCCGCGUGAAUGAUGAAGGUCUUAGGAUUGUAAAAUUCUUUCACCGGGGACGAUAAUGACGGUACCCGGAGAAGAAGCCCCGGCUAACUUCGUGCCAGCAGCCGCGGUAAUACGAAGGGGGCUAGCGUUGCUCGGAAUUACUGGGCGUAAAGGGAGCGUAGGCGGAUAGUUUAGUCAGAGGUGAAAGCCCAGGGCUCAACCUUGGAAUUGCCUUUGAUACUGGCUAUCUUGAGUAUGGGAGAGGUAUGCGGAACUCCGAGUGUAGAGGUGAAAUUCGUAGAUAUUCGGAAGAACACCAGUGGCGAAGGCGGCAUACUGGCCCAUUACUGACGCUGAGGCUCGAAAGCGUGGGGAGCAAACAGGAUUAGAUACCCUGGUAGUCCACGCUGUAAACGAUGAGUGCUAGUUGUCGGCAUGCAUGCAUGUCGGUGGACGCAGCUAACGACAUUAAGACACCUCCGCCGUCGGGGAGGUACGGUCGGCGAAGAAUUAAAACUAACAAAGGAAAGUUAGACGGCGUGAGACGUGCCGAACGGACGACGACGAGGGGAGGUUAGG
rnacentral:rRNA from 1 species